GCAGGCCGACGCUCUAUCCACUGAGCCAAACCGGCUAGACCUAGGCUUAGAAUUUAGAAUUAGAUUUUAGAGGUAGUGUCUGCUUGCAAUAAAGUUUCUGUACUUUUCUCCUAUAACCUUUUGUCCGUGGCUUCAUUCUUCG